rnacentral:piRNA from 1 species
UACAUUUACAUGUGUGUGUUGGUGUGUUU